rnacentral:rRNA from 1 species
GAUCAUGGCUCAGGAUGAACGCUAGCUACAGGCUUAACACAUGCAAGUCGAGGGAACGACAUCGAAAGCUUGCUUUUGAUGGGCGUCGACCGGCGCACGGGUGAGUAACGCGUAUCCAACCUGCCCACCACUUGGGGAUAACCUUGCGAAAGUAAGACUAAUACCCAAUGAUAUCUCUAGAAGACAUCUGAAAGAGAUUUAAAGAUUUAUCGGUGAUGGAUGGGGAUGCGUCUGAUUAGCUUGUUGGCGGGGUAACGGCCCACCAAGGCAACGAUCAGUAGGGGUUCUGAGAGGAAGGUCCCCCACAUUGGAACUGAGACACGGUCCAAACUCCUACGGGAGGCAGCAGUGAGGAAUAUUGGUCAAUGGGCGAGAGCCUGAACCAGCCAAGUAGCGUGCAGGACGACGGCCCUAUGGGUUGUAAACUGCUUUUAUAAGGGAAUAAAGUGAGUCUCGUGAGACUUUUUGCAUGUACCUUAUGAAUAAGGACCGGCUAAUUCCGUG